rnacentral:rRNA from 1 species
GCCAGACUCCUACGGGAGGCAGCAGUGAGGAAUAUUGGUCAAUGGGAGAGAUCCUGAACCAGCCAAGCCGCGUGAGGGAAGACGGCCCUAUGGGUUGUAAACCUCUUUUGUCGGAGAACAAAACCCGGGACGAGUCCCGGACUGCGUGUAUCCGAAGAAAAAGCAUCGGCUAACUCCGUGCCAGCAGCCGCGGUAAUGCGGAUGAUGCGAGCGUUAUCCGGAUUUAUUGGGUUUAAAGGGUGCGUAGGCGGAAUGCCAAGUCAGGGGUAAAAUCGCGGGGCUCAACCUCGCUCCGCCGUUGAAACUGGCGUUCUUGAGUGGGCGAGAAGUAUGCGGAAUGCGUGGUGUAGCGGUGAAAUGCAUAGAUAUCACGCAGAACUCCGAUUGCGAAGGCAGCAUACCGGCGCCCAACUGACGCUGAAGCACGAAAGCGUGGGUAUCGAACAGGAUUAGAUACCCUAGUA